rnacentral:rRNA from 1 species
AACGAACGCUGGCGGCAUGCCUAACACAUGCAAGUCGAACGAGACCUUCGGGUCUAGUGGCGUACGGGUGCGUAACGCGUGGGAACCUGCACUUAGGUUUGGCAUAACUCUCCGAAAGGGGUGCUAAUACCGGAUAAUGUCUUCGGACCAAAGAUUUAUUGACUUUGGAUGGGCCCGAGUUGGAUUAGCUAGUUGGUAGGGUAAAAGCCUACCAAGGCGACGAUCCAUAGCUGGUCUGAGAGGCUGGUCAGCCACACUGGGACGGAGACACGGCCCAGACUCCUACGGGAGGCAGCAGUGGGGAAUAUUGGACAAUGGGCGAAAUGCUGAUCCAGCAAUGCCGCGUGAGUGAUGAAGGCCUUAAGGUUGUAAAGCUCUUUUACCCGUGAUGAUAAUGACAGUACCUAGAGAAUAAGCUCCGGCUAACUCCGUG